rnacentral:rRNA from 1 species
GAUGAACGCUGGCGGCGUGCCUAAUACAUGCAAGUCGAGCGAACGGACGAGAAGCUUGCUUCUCUGAUGUUAGCGGCGGACGGGUGAGUAACACGUGGAUAACCUACCUAUAAGACUGGGAUAACUUCGGGAAACCGGAGCUAAUACCGGAUAAUAUUUUGAACCGCAUGGUUCAAAAGUGAAAGACGGUCUUGCUGUCACUUAUAGAUGGAUCCGCGCUGCAUUAGCUAGUUGGUAAGGUAACGGCUUACCAAGGCAACGAUGCAUAGCCGACCUGAGAGGGUGGUCGGCCACACUGGAACUGAGACACGGUCCAGACUCCUACGGGAGGCAGCAGUAGGGAAUCUUCCGCAAUGGGCGAAAGCCUGACGGAGCCACGCCGCGUGAGUGAUGAAGGUCUUCGGAUCGUAAAACUCUGUUAUUAGGGAAGAACAUAUGUGUAAGUAACUGUGCACAUCUUGACGGUACCUAAUCAGAAAGCCACGGCUAACUACGUG